GGACAACUUCAGAUCUGAGGCGACAGGCUCCUGUACAAGAAGGCCAGAAACACAUUGACAAAGGAGAGCAGAGUAGCAAAGAGGAGCUACUCUGAUAGGUUGAAAAAACAAUGCUCAGCCAACGAUCCUGUGACAGUGUGGAGAGGUCUUCAGCAUGCCACCAACUACAGGAGACCAUCCCUUCACCCUGUGGGGAACCCCAGACUGGCUGAGAAACUGAACCUGUUUUACAC